UACAACGAAACUGCGAAUGGCUCGGUAAAACAGCAAUAAUUUAUUCGGGGGUAAUUGCUACUUGGAUAACCGUAGUAAAGCUAGAGCUAAUACGUGCUACAAAGGCGAGAUUCGCUCUCGUGGUACUAAGUAUUAGGUACAACCCAAUUUUUUUGGUGAUUCAUACUUAUCUUCUGAUCGCACUCUGUGCGACGCCCCGAAUAAAUUUCUGACCUAUCAACUUCGAUGGUAAGGUAGUGUCUUACCAUGGUUGUGACGGGUAACGGACCGUGGGUGCGGGAUUCCGGAGAGGGAGCCUGAGAAACGGCUACCACAUCCAAGGAAGGCAGCAGGCGCGCAACUUACCCAAUCCGAACUUCGGGAGGUAGUGACAAAAAAUAUCAAUAAGGGGACCGAUGGUCUUCUUAAUUGGAAUGAAAACAAUCUAAACACCUUAUUAAGGAACCAGCAGAGGGCAAGUCUGGUGCCAGCAGCCGCGGUAAUUCCAGCUCUGUAAGCGUAUACCAAAGUUGUUGCAGUUAAAACGCUCGUAGUCGAACUUUGGCGUGAGUUACGGAGACUCCUAAUGGACGUUGAAGUAACUCCGCCUUUGUGGAGGGGGGUGUGGUGGUACUUUAUUGUAUUGCUGCGCUUCCGCCACUGUUUACUGUGAAAAAAUUAGAGUGUUCAAAGCGAGCGUUUGCCAUGAAUACAUUAGCAUGGAAUAAUAGAAUAGGACCUGGUCCUGUUUUAUUGGUUUGUCUGUAUCAGGUAAUGAUUAACAGGGACGGUCGGGGGCAUUUGUAUUCCAGCGUUAGAGGUGAAAUUCUUGGAUCGCUGGAAGACAAACAGCUGCGAAAGCGUCUGCCAAGGACGUUUUCAUUGAUCAAGAACGAAAGUAAGGGGAUCGAAGACGAUCAGAUACCGUCGUAGUCUUUACUAUAAACGAUGAUGACUAAGGAUCAGCCGUGGCCUAUUGGUACGGUUGGCACUUUCCGGGAAACCAAAGUUUUUGAUUUCUGGGGGGAGUAUGGUCGCAAGUCUGAAACUUAAAGGAAUUGACGGAAGGGCAUCACCGGGUGUGGAGCCUGCGGCUUAAUUUGACUCAACACGGGAAAACUUACCAGGUCCAGACAUAGUAAGGAUUGACAGAUUGAGAGCUCUUUCUUGAUUCUAUGGUUGGUG
rnacentral:rRNA from 1 species